rnacentral:rRNA from 1 species
UGGUGCCAGCAGCCGCGGUAACUCCAGCUCCAAUAGCGUAUAUUAAAGUUGCUGCAGUUAAAAAGCUCGUAGUGGGCAAGUCUGGUGCCAGCAGCCGCGGUAAUUCCAGCUUCAGUAGCAUAUAUUAAAGUUGGUGCGGUUAAAAGGCUUGUAGUUGAAUGUCUGUUCCGAGUUGCGGCAGGUGGACGUUGGGGUUGUUGUUGGCUCCUUCGCGGUGUCCAGCACACGCUCCCGUCCGUUAACAUCCUCCGCACUCGCGUACAAAAGGGCGUCGACCGAGAGAGUUCUCUCUCUCGCAGACGCCACAGUCACCCUGAGUAAAUCAGAGUGCUCAAAGCAGUCGUAAAGGGCCUAGCCCUGUUAACACACGGAGCGUGGCUUCGUGCCCGCUCUAAGAGGACAGACUUGGUUUUGCAUGGUAUGUCGGAAUACGACGUCGGGCGCUGGCUAAUGGUCGUAGCAGUGGUAUAAGCCAGCCUCGACGUAAUGAUUAAAAGGGCUUGUCGAGGGCAUUGGUAUUGCGAAGCGAGAGGUGAAAUUCUAUGACCUUCGCAAGACCUCCUGAAGCGAAAGCGUCUGCCAAGGAUGUUUUC